rnacentral:lncRNA from 1 species
AAAGUCUCAAUAUAUCCCUGUCAAGAGUCUUGCAGAAAAAGGGGAUAAGAUGGUGUCAGAAUAUCUACGUACUGAUUAAAUACAUGUUGAUACUUGCUAAGAUAUUGCAAUACAUCACCAGUUAAAACGAGAUAAACUUGGUUAAAAGCCUAUCUCAUGAUUGAUGAUUACUAGUCAUUAGAAUUUACUCUAUGAACUAGAAAUUACUAUGGACAAAAUUGAAAGGAAAUCAACCAACAUUUAUCCAAGAGAAACGCCAACUAAUAAGUUACAUUUUUCGAUGCACUAAUAUCCUUUGAAAUAAUGGGGAUGAUCCAAUAACCCCAAUAAUGCGGUUAACUAUUUCAAGAUAGUCCCAUGCGUCCUUUAAAUGUGCAUUGAAUUUCUAUGAUAAAAUGCUAGCUGAAAGUCAGACUUUGUUUCUUAACACACUCGUAUCUCGCAAUGUGAGAAGCGAUAGAGGAUGGUGGACACUUGCUAGAUGAGUUUGCCUGCAUACGCACAGAAGAUGGCUGCUCCUUGCAAGUGGUUAAUUAGAGGCAUGACUGUAGAUGAUUAGGAAAGGAGGUUGGAUUUUGG